AUGCCAUCAACAAGCUUCUCAGGAAACACGGCUUCCUCCCUUUCACGGGUGCAGAGGGACCUUGAGAGCAAAGGUGGGGUCAGCCAUCUCUGUAAGGGGCUGGCUCUCACCCCCAUGAGGGACUGUGAGAACCUUCCUGUCAGGAUAAGGCAACAAGACCACAUUGCUACGAAGCCAGCAGGGAACAGAACAUGCGAUAAACAGUCACAGAGAGGGCCACUGCCUACAGUUCCUGUCACAGCCACACCCAGAGGGCCCUCUCCUCUGAGCAUCCACUCUUUACCAUCAUGUCCAGCAAACACACACUGUCUCAGUGGUUUAUCAAACCCCACCGAAUGUGCCUCAGAUUCGUGCGUUUCUUCAGAUAUCGCCAUUGCUUGCAACUUUCAAUAAUGAAUAUGAACUGGUUUUCACAAAAGCAACAAAAUAAUUUUCAAAAUAUCUGCCUGUACUAGGUCAUUCCAAUGAAAAUAUUUGUUUCUGACCAUCGCAGAGAUAUGGAUAAAUAACUUUUGGGACUCUGGUUAAAGAUGCUCUGAGGACAAGACGACCCCAAAGAUCAAAGCUACUGGCUGGGGUUCACUUUUUUUUACAUCUGCCUUCUCAGGAAGGUCUCUUCCUUCUGUGAGCCCCAAGGCUCUGAGGCCGGACUCGGGGUGUCUGGAAGGACUGCCCAAUUGAUGUACUUCUCUGCUUCAGUUCGCAUCUCUCAGAGUCCAGGUCCAGCUCUUAGGCAUGACCACGUAAGUAAGGAGAAUAAAAAUCAUUUCAAUGGCCACUGCUUGUGGAACAUCAAGUGCAC
rnacentral:lncRNA from 1 species